rnacentral:rRNA from 1 species
UACGGGGGGUGCGAGCGUUGUCCGGAAUCACUGGGCGUAAAGGGUGCGUAGGCGGGUUUUUAAGUCAGGGGUGAAAUCCUGGAGCUCAACUCCAGAACUGCCUUUGAUACUGAAGAUCUUGAGUCCGGGAGAGGUGAGUGGAACUGCGAGUGUAGAGGUGAAAUUCGUAGAUAUUCGCAAGAACACCAGUGGCGAAGGCGGCUCACUGGCCCGGUACUGACGCUGAGGCACGAAAGCGUGGGGAGCAAACAGG